rnacentral:lncRNA from 1 species
UUUACCUUAGGCGAGCACUGGGCUGCAGCUAAGCCCCCGAGUGAGAGGUUUGCUCUUCACUCGGUAGGAUUUCUUUUACCUUAGGCGAGCACUGGGCUGCAGCUAAGCCCCCGAGUGAGAGGUUUGCUCUUCACUCGGUAGGAUUUCUUUUACCUUAGGCGAGCACUGGGCUGCAGCUAAGCCCCCGAGUGAGAGGUUUGCUCUUCACUCGGUAGGAUUUCUUUUACCUUAGGCGAGCACUGGGCUGCAGCUAAGCCCCCGAGUGAGAGGUUUGCUCUUCACUCGGUAGGAUUUCUUUUACCUUAGGCGAGCACUGGGCUGCAGCUAAGCCCCCGAGUGAGAGGUUUGUUCUUCACUCGGUAGGAUUUCCAUUGUAUUUGUGACGAAGCUCGGAGGAGAGGGUCGCAGUCGACCUGCACCUCGUCUUCCUUGCGAACGCACAUCAUACUUAUGGUGUAGCUCGGAGGAGAGGGUCGCAGUCGACCUGCCCCUCGUCCUCCUUGCGGGUACGCAUGCUACAAUGGUGUAGUUCGGAGGAGAGGAUCGCAGUCGACCUGCACCUCGUCUUCCUUGCGGGUACACAUUAUACUUAGGCGAGUCCUUGGACUGCAGCUAAGCCUCCGAGUGGGAGUCUGGCUUACCACUCGGUAGGAUUUUUAAUAACUUAGGCGAGCACUGAGCUGCAGCUAAGCCUCCGAGUGGAAGUCUGGCUUACCACUCGGUAGGAUUUCUUAUAUCUUAGGCGAGUACUGGACUGCAGCUAAGCCUCCGAGUGGAAGUCUGGCUUACCACUCGGUAGG